GGAAUGGAUUCUUAGAAGAGGCUGCUUGACUUGAACAAAACAAAAUUGGUUAAUGAAAACUAUAACUUUAAGGGUCUUAAAACAUAUGUUAGUUUAUGAACAUAGGAAAUGUACGCGGAAAUACGUGACGUAGAGAGCCAAGAGAGGUGUAAGGGCAAGUGCAAUGUAGUUUCGUUGAACAAAAGUACGGAAAUAAAUAAGAGUAAAUAUCUAGUACUUUCUUCCCACCAAAAUUACUUUCUUCCCGCCAAAAUAACUUUCUUCCUUCCAAAGGAAAGACGUAGAAAAGAGAGAUUAGAAGAAUGUGGUCUCACUUUAUUUAUUAACGCCCCCCUCCCCCCAAAAAAACCAAGAAAAUAAAAAACCAAAAAAAAACCGCAUUAUUCUUUAUGUGCAUGCAUGCAAUAUAUAUAUCAAUAGUAUUCGGUGACCUUGUUGUCCUUAAAAAGAAAUGUAUUUAUCCACA
rnacentral:lncRNA from 1 species